rnacentral:rRNA from 1 species
UGGGGAAGAUUGGACAAUGGGGGCAACCCUGAUCCAGCAAUGCCGCGUGUGUGAAGAAGGCCUUCGGGUUGUAAAGCACUUUUAUCGGGGACGAAACAUUGUCGGCCAAUACCCGGCAAGACUGACGGUACCCGAGGAAUAAGCACCGGCUAACUCCGUGCCAGCAGCCGCGGUAAUACGGAGGGUGCAAGCGUUAAUCGGAAUUACUGGGCGUAAAGCGUGCGCAGGCGGUUUGUUAAGUCUGCUGUGAAAUCCCCGAGCUCAACUUGGGAAUUGCAGUGGNUACUGGCAAGCUGGAGUACGGGAGAGGAAGGUGGAAUUCCCGGUGUAGCAGUGAAAUGCGUAGAGAUCGGGAGGAACACCAGUGGCGAAGGCGGCCUUCUGGACCAGUACUGACGCUCAUGCACGAAAGCGUGGGGAGCAAACA